rnacentral:rRNA from 1 species
GAUGAACGCUGGCGGCGUGCCUAAUACAUGCAAGUCGAGCGAACGGACGAGAAGCUUGCUUCUCUGAUGUUAGCGGCGGACGGGUGAGUGACACGUGGAUAACCUACCUAUAAGACUGGGAUAACUUCGGGAAACCGGAGCUAAUACCGGAUAAUAUUUUGAACCGCAUGGUUCAAAAGUUAAAGACGGUCUUGCUGUCACUUAUAGAUGGAUCCGCGCUGCAUUAGCUAGUUGGUAAGGUAACGGCUUACCAAGGCAACGAUGCAUAGCCGACCUGAGAGGGUGAUCGGCCACACUGGAACUGAGACACGGUCCAGACUCCUACGGGAGGCAGCAGUAGGGAAUCUUCCGCAAUGGGCGAAAGCCUGACGGAGCAACGCCGCGUGAGUGAUGAAGGUCUUCGGAUCGUAAAACUCUGUUAUUAGGGAAGAACAUAUGUGUAAGUAAAUGUGCACAUCUUGACGGUACCUAAUCAGAAAGCCACGGCUAACUACGUG